CAAAAUUAUUUUGCGAAAAUUAAAAAGAUAAUGAUUAAAAAUAAUUAAAAAUAAUAAUUAUGCAUCGUGUUGGGCGACCUAUAGUAUAACAGAGAUGCGCCAAUGAUCACGUGAUUGCGAUAUUUUGCUGAUUGGUCAGAGUAAAUUGUAUAAACGUAGCCGCUGCCAUGUUGAAUUUCUCGCUGCCAUGUUGAAUCUGUCACUAUCUUUCAUACAAAAUUUACCAUGCCAACCAAUUGUGCUGCAAAUCGCUGUACGAACAACAGCAACAAAGGUUAUGUAGUAUUUAAUUUCCCAGCAAAUGCAGAUUGUCGUAAGAAAUGGAUAGCUGCUCUUUCAAAGAACCCCGAUUGGUGACCCACAGCUUCGCAAAGAAUUUGUGAGGUGAGUGAUACUAAUAGAAAUUUACUGCAUAACCUUUGUUGCUGUUCGUACAGCGAUUUGCAGCACAAAUAGUACCUGUAUUUAAUGUGUUACUACAAUAUAUUUUCCUCUGUUAUAUGCAAUUUAUAAUAUGUAAAAUACAAGAAGGCACCGAACCAAAUUUACUUGUUUACGUUCAGCAACAAAUUCAAUUUCCGAUGGCGUGAAAUGUACCUAUGGGAAGAAAAUCACAAAAUGUUUUGAGUUUAACAGUAAGUUACAUUGUGUUAUUAAUGUCUUAUAUUAUGUUAUUUUCCGAAGUGCAAAGUCAAAGCAUACUGCACAUUACUACUAACCUCGCAAACUUUUUGAGAACUACUAGGUGUCCAAUUCUUGCCUCUUCCAACCGCAGCAAUCCAUUUUUGUUUACCCUUUAUCACUCCUGUUGGAACACCUAUAUGCAUUGCAACUGGAUGGCAUAGCGAGUGGUAAUGCUGUCUGUAAUACAAAGAACACAAUAAAUAACUUGACAAAGAAAUCAGCGUCGCCAAAUCAAGAGAUACUGUAAUAUUUCUUAUAGAAAACAAGAAUAAACAGUAAAUAUAUUGUUUCAAUAUAUUUCUCGAAUGCAACUGACAUUUUUUACAAUCAAAAUUUAUUUAUAAUUUAUAAUAAUAAAGAUUUACCUC